GCAUUUUUCGUCUGCCCCAGUCGAACGAUCGCCCGCUCCUCGCCCGUCCGAUCAGUCCCGCGCGCCCACCCUCCUCAUCGCCCGUCCAACAGCUCCUGCCCGGCAAUCACGCUCCGCCCUUCCCCACCAUGCCCGUCGCGCCUCCUCAUCGCGCGUCCAACAGAUCCCGCCCAGCAAUCACGCGCCGCCCUUCCCCACCACGCCCGUCGCACCUCCUCAUCGCCCGUCCACCGCCGCCACUCCGCGCACCCUUCCCCCACGCUCGUCGCGCCGCCUCUCCCAUCCCACCUCGACGCCGCACCGCUCCAAGCUAGCUGCCGUGGCCGCCAGUCGUCUGCCGCGAUCGAGCGUCGACGCUGCGCCCCUCCUUCGCGGCGGCGACCUCCCCCUCUUGUCUCAUGUGAGCGAUUCUCCGAGGGACAUGUUCACCGGACUCUCUCCGCCCGAAGCUAUUCGUGUCGCCGUCAGGUCUCCACGCCGCCCCACAUCGCCGGACUCGACUCCGCCCGAAGCAGCCGAACCAGCCGGGAUCCCUCGCUUUCGCCGUCGCUUCCUAUUUCCUCCCCUAAACUGCUGGUAGGAUGCCGUCCCUGAAUCGCAUCUCAUUCCCGCAGCCGUCGCCAUCUCGCCUCUCAUCUGCCCACAGGCCGGGUGGCGUCCUGGCCAGGUGCAGCAACGCUGUCGCCCAGAAGAUCUCCGGCGCCAUCAAGCUCCAGCUCAGGAGGUUCCUCCUAAUAGCGGUGAGCUAUUCUUACUUUCAGGACCAGGAUGCAAGCUAAAGGAGGGAUCUCCAUCUCGACUUCACGCAGUGGCCACAGGCCACAGCACUUCAACUUGCAAUUCAAACUGCACAAGGACUUCAGAUGCCCUUCUUCCAUUUCUUCUCUGAUUGUCAGAUGCUUAUCAACGCUGUAAAAGCUGCCGAUCCAAUUGACAGCCCUGGACAUUGGAGAAAAUAACUUUGUGUGCCCUCAUGAAGGUUGUGGAAAGGAGAAUUUACAUUUGUCAGUACCAUUCCUAUAUAUUGGCCAAAUACAAAUGGAAUUAUUUCGCGUUACAAAAUCUACAUCUCUAGAAAAUACAUACAUCUAAACAAGCCACCUGAGAUUGAUGCUUCCUGACAUACCGAUCACCCAAAUGUCCAGGAGCCUCCCUGAAAACCUUUGAGAAUUCAAGGUUGACAUGCUCUAGGUCUUAAGGAAGCUAAAUUGCUGAUAACUAUGCAAGCUAAAGAGCUGCCCCCUUUUGUUCACUACGAAGAUGAGGACAUCUUCCUGAUAUUUGAGGAUUCAAGACUCAAGAGCAAUGAUUGAUAACACCAUCAUCCAAGAGCUAUAAGUUCAUAAGGAGCUUAAAGCUCUGCUAUCAUGUUUAAAUUGAGGGAAGAGACCAGAACUACCAUCCAAGAGCGAGACAAACUACGGAAAAAGAUGGUAAAAUUUGAACUGCACAUCGUGUACACCAUAACUGAAGCUUGAAAGAACAACUCAGCUCUCCGUGUUGUUCCUUUGACUUUGGCAUGGGGCUGCCAUGUUUUGCUUUCAUCUGUCCAUUUAAGUCAAGUGACAGCCACCUGAUGAAAAUUUUGUCGAAUACAUCCAGGUCAUUAGUACUGUCUGCACAUGGUCUUCCAGCUUGCCAUAGCCAAAAGUCCCUACCAGUGUUGGGCCGUUGGCCAAUUCCCAUCUAGAGGAAAGCACCUCUUAUUCAACUUUUUAACAAUAACCA